UCAGCAACCCAAUGAGCAACUCCAGAGGAAGGACCGGCUAACUUCGUGCCAGCAGCCGCGGUAAUACGAAGGGUCCAAGCGUUAAUCGGAAUCACUGGGCUUAAAGGGUGCGUAGGCGGACUGGCCAGUGCCUUGUGAAAUCCCACGGCUCAACCGUGGAAUUGCUCGGCAUACUGCCAGUCUUGAGGUCGGUAGAGGGUGCCGGAACUCUAGGUGGAGCGGUGAAAUGCGUAGAUAUCUAGAGGAACGUCAAAGGCGAAGGCAGGCACCUGGUCCGAUUCUGACGCUGAGGCACGAAAGCGUGGGGAGCGAACGGGAUUAGAUACCCCGGUAGUCCACACCCUAAACUAUGUGCACUAGAUUGUGGGGGUUUUGACGCCCGCACAAUCGAAGCUAAAGUGAUUAGUGCACCGCCUGGGGAGUACGGUCGCAAGGCUAAAACUCAAAGGAAUUGACGGGGGCUCACACAAGCGGUGGAGCAUGUGGCUUAAUUCGAAGCUACGCGAAGAACCUUAUCCAGGGUUUGACAUGUACGGAUUAGCUCGGCGAAAGUCGAGUGACGCUCUUUGGGUGGAACGUACACAGGUGCUGCAUGGCUGUCGUCAGCUCGUGCUGUGAAGUGUCGGGUUAAGUCCCUUAACGAGCGAAACCCCUACCACUAGUUACCAGCGGACCUUCGGGUGCCGGGGACUCUAGCGGGACUGCCGGUGUCAAACCGGAGGAAGGUGGGGACGACGUCAAGUCCUCAUGGCCUUUAUGCCCUGGGCUGCACACGUGCUACAAUGGUAACUACAAAGCGAAGCGAUACCGCAAGGUGGAGCAAAUCGCAAAAAAGUUGCCCCAGUUCGGAUUGUGGUCUGCAACUCGACCACAUGAAGU
rnacentral:rRNA from 1 species